rnacentral:tRNA from 9 species
GCGCCCUUAGCUCAGCUGGAUAGAGCAUCGGCCUUCUAAGCCGGUGGUCGCAGGUUCGAAUCCUGCAGGGCGCGCCA